AGCUGCGUAUAUACUUGAAUAAUUAUUGCAGGAAUGCAGUUUCGUUUUUCACGAGACAAAAGAGUGCUUUGAGGCAGGAAACCGUAUCAGCCACGCUUGUCCAUUUUGAAACGUUUUCUCGAACAAAUCCAGCACAAAAGUCAAGCAGAAUUUGUCAAGAUGGUGAUGUCUAGAAGUACAGCAGUUGGGUCGAUAGUAACAGGCUCUAUUAUGCUCGGUUUUGCAAUUAUUGCCGUGAUAUGUGGCGCUGUUUCAUCCGGGAAGCUGUCUGGCCAGGCUGCAGCUUCGGCUGGUUUGUGGUCGCUCUAUGUAAGUAUUAAUUAAGCCUUGUUCAUGUCCAAGUCUUACGCCUAAAACUUACGUGACCCAUGUUGUUUAGAGCUUGAGUUUCAUUUGGUCGCACUAAUUUUCGAAGGCUUGAUUGUCAGAUCUUGUGACUUGUCGUUGACAUUACUGGUUGCCUUUUGUGAAGUAUUAAAUUAAGGAAAUACGUUUUCCCAACUUGUAUAGCAAUGUAGUGAAUGUUUGGUAGUCCUAUUUUGGCUACACUCAUCGUGUGAUCGCGACCACCACGACUAAGUCCAAACUAAAGCUAAAUUCUGCUUCUCAUUUGCUUUUUAAUGAAUAAUGGCGACUGUUUGCCAAUAUGGCGAUGUCAUGUAAAUAGUCACGAUCGAUGUGCCAUUUUGAGUUUUGUAAUUGUAGGCAGAUUAGUAAAGACAAAGGCAGUUUACGGCAUGCAUUCGUCACAACGGAAAAAAACUGGCCUUGACUUUUGUACUGAAGACUUUAAGACGGCCGAAUAGCGAAUAAUAUUGAAAUAAAAUCGAUAAAGAUCGUAGACUAGUCUGAAGGGCGCGGAUCGUUGUCAUGCC